rnacentral:rRNA from 1 species
AUUUGACCUCAAUGCAGGUAGGACUA